rnacentral:rRNA from 1 species
UUAGGUGACUAUAGCAUCAGGGUUCCACCUCUUCCCAUUCCGAACAGAGAAGUUAAGCCUGAUCACGCCGAUGGUACUGCGUAACAGUGGGAGAGUAGGUAGUCGCCGUUUU